rnacentral:rRNA from 1 species
AGUGAACGCUGGCGGUAGGCCUAACACAUGCAAGUCGAACGGCAGCACAGUAAGAGCUUGCUCUUACGGGUGGCGAGUGGCGGACGGGUGAGGAAUACAUCGGAAUCUACUUUUUCGUGGGGGAUAACGUAGGGAAACUUACGCUAAUACCGCAUACGACCUACGGGUGAAAGCAGGGGAUCUUCUGACCUUGCGCGAUUGAAUGAGCCGAUGUCGGAUUAACUAGUUGGCGGGGUAAAUGCCCACCAAGGCGACGAUCCGUAGCUGGUCUGAGAGGAUGAUAAGCCACACUGGAACUGAGACACGGUCCAGACUACUACGGGAGGCAGCAGUGGGGAAUAUUGGACAAUGGGCGCAAGCCUGAUCCAGCCAUACCGCGUGGGUGAAGAAGGCCUUCGGGUUGUAAAGCCCUUUUGUUGGGAAAGAAAAGCAGCAGGUUAAUACCCCGCUGUUCUGACGGUACCCAAAGAAUAAGCACCGGCUAACUUCGUG